AAAUUAUCAGCAGAUUUUAGUAUACCUAACUGAAGAUCGCAGCUAGUGCUAGUGACGUCACUGUAUAAAGGUGUUAUAUUACCUACACAUGCCUGGUCUGCAGUCAGUUCCAUUCACCGGUCAACUGUGUGGAUCACGAUUUGUCGAAAUAUAGACACCAACUUCUAAAAUGGAGUCUCCUGCAUCAAGAAGAUUUAACAGGAUAGAACCAAGAUCAGGAUUAGAAAUAAAGGCUGUAGUUCUAACGUUGAUGUGUUUUAUCUAUGCCAUAUCCAUGUUUCUGAUGGCGGCCUUCAUCAGCAAGGCAUCAACAUCUUUAAUGUCAUCAGCUUCCUCGAUGAUAAAACGUUACCAAUUCUGGAACAUUGAGCACGUAACCACACUGGAUACGAAACCAACAAGAGCUCGCAUCUAUCAGGGUUGACGCAACCAACACUCGAAUCUUAGAAAACCACUGGCAGCAUUAAACAGAUGACUAACUGUUUUGAUGAUCUAUGUGAUGAUACGAUAUGUAUAUAUGUCAUUCCAAGAUGGAAUGUCAUGUUGUAAUUGCGAUCUGCUAAUAAUGGAUGACGUUGCAUCAACAGAUUGCAAGCCGGUCACGAUACUGCGAAACUGCAUACGAACUGUGAUACAAAUUCAAUCAUCUUAUGUUUCUAGCAGACUAUCUAGCAGACUUGUUACAAUGCGCGUACUUAUACGACAAAACUACUGCUUGGGACCGAUGCUACCUAUCCAUGGACACGUGAUGAUGGCAGACAGUAGCACGUAUAGUUGCCCAUUCAAACAUGAGAUAGGAUUGUGAAUAUGGAUUGUAUCAAAUGGACAUCAUCGAAACGAGUGAUUAUGAAUGUAAGUUAGGAAAUGUGUCUCUAUGUGUGACGUGUAUGUUAGAGAGGAUGUGUAUUGAUUUAAGAUACAUAACCAGAAAAAAAGGAUAUCGAGAGGCAGCAUGUUGUAUUUAUGUGUUACUCUCUAAAUCAAAGGUUUAGAUUGAUAAUUUUAUAUGUUAAUACUCUAGUUGUGAAUUUGUGAUACAAGAAUUAAAUUGAAAAUUGAAUUAAUAAAGACCGUAUACUGUGUGAUAGUAUCAUCUAGUUCUCUGGGUUCGUCCCGACCUUGGCUGUUAUGAGGACGUCAAGCCAUACACAACUAAUCAAUACCUGUCAUGGGCAAGACAGGCGCUGUAUUUUGUACAUUGUUAUAUUCUGUUGUUUUUAACAGAUACUUGUUGUUAAUAAAUUGCAUUAAAAUAA